UAUGACAAUGACUUUGCCAAAAUGGUACAAGCCAUUAUAGAUUCUCUUAUUCACUCAUUCCAGUUUGGCCUAAUUUUUUAAAAAAAAUUUUUAGGUGUUAUAGUUUUUGAGUUUUUUUCAUCUUUAAUAAAUUUUUUAUACUGUUUGAUAAAAAAAUUAUAAUUUUGCGGUUUCUCUUGACGAUAGAAAUCUAUAAAAUGUAAAAAAAUCGUUCAAAUUUAAAAAUUUAGCUAAUUAGUUGUGUAAAAUUUUUUUUUUUGCUUUUAAUAGUUUUUUCCUAAGCAAAUUAAAAAAUAUUACAUUUUCAAACUUCUCUCAUUAAGAAAAAUUAAAAAAAAAAUAUUUAUUAAAAUAAUAAUAUUUUUUACUAAAAACAAAAAAAAUAAAAACUAAAAAAUUAUUUAAAAAAUCUACGCUAAACUGUGCUAAUUGAAGAAACACACACUAUGCUGUAGCAUAUCGAGAAAGAUAAAAGUACACUAGUUAUUUAUUGAUUAGUGUAGAGUAAUGUUUUAAGAGUAUUGAUUGGUGCAGAGUAAUAUUUAAAGAGUACUAAAUAAUCUCUUCCUAACCUGGGGGUGCGGGCCAACCAAGAUGCAUGGGGCUUUUGGCACAGUGUGGCCGAGACGUAACGUUGCCUUGUGUCGGCUGCACCAUCUUGCCAUUUAAUUUAGGAUUUUUAAUUUUUUUGUCUUAAUACAUUCAUUAAGAUAAAUAAAUAUUAUAUCUUUCUUUAAAAAAUAAUUUAUAUUUUAAGUAUGUUUAAAUUAGUAGCACUUAAAAAAUAAAUUUUUAAAAUAAAUUAUUUAAAUUAUUUUUUUUCUAAAAAAAUCAUUGACAAUAAAAUUUUAUUUUUUAAGUAUGUUUGUUAUUAGGGUACUUAAAAAAAUAAACUAUUUAGAAUAUUUUUUUUAAUUUAAAAAAUGACUUAUUGAUAAAAACUAAAACUAAAAUAAUUUAUAAAUAAAUGAUAUUUUAAAAAGGAGCAUUAAUUUAGGUUAAUAUGUGUAUUGAGAAAAAAAUUUUAGAAUUCCUAAAUCAAAUGAUAAAUUUGUUAUUUUUGUACAAAAAUGAGCUAUAGAAAAAAUCUUAACGUUAUUUUUAAAAAUAAGGGUAGUUAGUGUUAUUUUUAAAAUUACAUGAGAAGUUGUUGUAUUUGUUAGUAACCUCAGGGUAGGACAGUGAAAUUUAUCCAUUUUUUGAAAAUUAAUAAAUAUAGGUUUUUACAUAACCAUAAUUUUUUAUUAACUUGAUAGAUCUAAGCACUUUAAAACUUAAUUAUUAAAUUCAUACACUUUUUUAAAGUUAUGAGACUAAAAUACGAUUUCUCAUCAAGUAGUAGAUUCAAAACCAAUUUUAAGAAGAUUUACUGUUGGAAAAAAAAUUAUAUUAAAAUUAUUAUUUUAUGUGAAAUAAAAUUACUUUUAAAAGCAAUUCUUCUAAUGAAUGGCUUUGUCUCUUCGUUAGUACUUUUUCGACACGAAAAGUUAUAAUUUUCUAUAUAUACUCUAUUCAUUCUUUAAGUUUUUUUAUUUGUUAGUGCAAUUCACAUUCAAUUCAAACAGGUAGAAUAUUUGUCUAGGUCGAUAAAAAGAAAAGUCCUCUACUGUUUGGUUCGUUGUGCAAAAUAAUUUUAGUGUUCCUUUUAUUUUACGUAAAGAUUGUUGUAUCCUAAAAGACGGACGUUUAGUGAUCGUGAGUACCAUAACAAAGGCACAAAUAUGUCUUAAAAAAAUUGUGUUCAACACAUGCUUCAAUAUAUAUAUCAGUUCUAUUAAAUUAUGUUGCUUAUUUGGUCCGUAUGUUUUUAUUUACAAUUUUUCAAUGUUCAUUUUUUUUUAUGAUUUAUAAUUCAGAAUACGGUGUUAAUUCACAAAUGGUAAAUAUACAUCUCUAAUUAAAUUUUUUAACAUUUACUAAAGCCGUGUUUUCUUCCCACGAUUUCGUAAAAAGUCAUUUUUUAGCCCCAUCACUUAAGAAAAAUGUAUGAAUUCAAUAAAUACAUUUUAAAAUACGUGAGUAUAAUAAAUUAGUUUUAAACUGCUCAAAUUUAGAGAAAAAAACUCCAUUAUCCUUAUACUACAACAACAAUUGUUGCCACUUUUAUGAUGAUCUGUGUGCAUGCUUACAAAAGCAUAAAACAACAAAUAAAAACAAUUCUAUUUCAACCUUUACUUCGACUGUCCAUCGUCCUUGACCAAAUGACAAUAUUUGACCCGUUGACUCUCAUAUUUUUGUUAACCUGAAAAACAAGAAGGAAAAAAAAAUUAUGAAAUUGUUUUCUUCUUUUUAUUUGUUUAUUCGGAAAGGGAUCUGAAGAUCCUCAACCGUACAUGUCCUAUGAAGAGACCUUUCACAGUCAAAUAUCACUAUUUGCCGUUUCAUGGGAUCAAUUGUUUGUGGAAUCCACCGGCAAAUAACUAACCCUUGUGUUCAUGACAAAAGUUCUAACUGAAUUCUUUAAGGUAAUUAAUUUUCGUACUCUAUAAUUUAAUUUCUG
rnacentral:lncRNA from 1 species